GUAAGCCGAAGGGCAGCUACCGGCCCCAAUAUAUGGGGGCUGAGGAAACUCCCCCCAUCAUACAGAACCACGGUGCCGGAAGGCAUCAGCCGAGAGGCUGGGCUCUGGAGCAGAAACGACACGUCCUCCAAGUGGAUGAUAAUGAAACCCUACAAUUAAAGGGGUUGACUGACACUGGAGGGAACGGUGAAACGGCCAACCCGUGGGAUGCAAGGGUAAAUACUGCCAAUGAGCACUGUACGAGGCAGAGGUGGCCCGCCUAGAUGAAUGCUGCCCGUGAACAGAAGGGGGGUUACUCUCGGCAUGC
rnacentral:RNase_P_RNA from 1 species